rnacentral:rRNA from 1 species
GCCGGAGGAUGCAAGCGUUAUCCGGAAUGAUUGGGCGUAAAGCGCGCGUAGGCGGCCCGGUAAGUCCGUUGUGAAAGUCAAAGGCUCAACCUUUGAACGCCGAUGGAUACUGCCGGGCUAGAGUCCGGAAGAGGCGAGUGGAAUUCCUGGUGUAGCGGUGGAAUGCGCAGAUAUCAGGAGGAACACCAAUAGCGAAGGCAGCUCGCUGGGACGGUACUGACGCUGAGGCGCGAAAGCGUGGGGAGCGAACAGG